AGUGGGAUAGCUGGGUCAAAUGGUGGUUCCAUUGGAAGUUUUCUAAGGAAUCUCCAUACUGCUUUCCAGAUUGGUUGCACCAAUUUGCAGUCCCACCAGCAAU
rnacentral:pre_miRNA from 1 species